rnacentral:rRNA from 1 species
AUGGCCUCGUCUCUCCAUCAUAUGGGUGUGCCACACCAAAACAUCAGAGAUAAAGAUGUACCAGGAUGUUCAGUUUUUAACCUCUUGGGUUCGUAUCAUUGUCGGAAAUAUGUUCCUUUCAUGUUUAAAAUCGCUUCUGCUGCUUGUAUGCGCACAAGAGAAAGUGUGGUGUGCGCGGCGGAGAAGGCACCCAACAUUACCAGCGAGUCUGUCAACCUGCGCCGGUGCUCACUUGAGGCCUCCCACCCUGCCCCUCCGGUGGCCUCUUCUUCUUCGACCGAACUGAACCAUGCUGCUACUUGCCAAGCACUAGGUGAUGAUGAUCCACUGGGUAAUAAUCACUCUACGUCUGGCCGCGUCCCUCCUAUUGUUGAAAAUGACGAUGAUCUUGAUUUUAUGAACUGGGAUGGCGAUGCUGAUGCUGGUUGUAGAGAGUCAAGCUCUGAUUAUUCUGGUUGUGAGGCUUACGACUUGUGGAGGCGUUGGAUAAUCGGGUUUGAGAGGCUGACUGACACUCAGCCAGAGCUAUACGUCCACAUUGUCCCUGACAAGGCCACAACCAAACUAACGUUUACCGAAAGCAGUAUUGGUAUCCCUCACUGUAGAGGAAGCUCUGUCCAACACUGGAGGCGGUUCAAAGACGUCAGCAUCUGCAGGCAUGCCAAGCUAUCCCUCAUGGCUGAUCCUGUCGGGUUUCCCUAUUUUCCUGUCGGUUUUGGGCUCACAGAGAUUUUUCAGUUUCUGUAUGAAGGCACCGGGGGAGAGAAGUGCCUUCGCGAGCGUCAACCGGAGGAGCCUGCAGGGUUCUCUAUAAAGGUGAUCCUGGACGGCGAGGGGUGCAAGGCGUUGUGCGCUGAGUUCUCCAAGGUCAUGCAACAGAAAAUGGAACAAGAGAAGCAGGAGAAGCUCGCACACAAGUUCUUCUCUUCUUGUGAUACCGUGUACAACAAAUUAGCACCCAUAUUUACAUGCCCAAUAGACAUAUUGCGCCGCCGCCCCUCCCCUCCCGGCCUUCUACCGCGGCAGCGGCCUGGGCGAGCCGCCGCCCCUCCCCUCCCGGCCUUCUACCGCGGCAGCGGCCUGGGAGCGAUGCCGCCCCUCCCCUCCCUGCUUUCUCCCGCGGCGGCGGCCUGGGAGCGACGCCGCCCUUCCCCUCCCGGCCUUCUUCCGCGGCAGCGGCCAGCAGCGACGCCGCCCCUCCCCUCCCGGCCUUCUUCUGCGGCGGCGGCCAGGCAGCGACGCCGCCCGUCGCCUCUCGGCCUUCUUCCGCGGCAGGCACCGAGCAACACCAGCCUAUCGGCCUUCUUCCACGGCAGCAGCUCGGUAGCGCCGCCACCGAACUCCUCCGGGCCUGCAAUUAGCUGUACUUCAUCAGAUGUGGAUUGGUGCUGCCUCGACAUCAAACCAAUUCGAGCAAGGAGGAGUGUGCGCAAGGUUGCUUCAUCCACGGUAGCUUCUUGGAAUAAGUCUGCAUCGACCUUCAGAGCAAAUCCUCCUUCCCCGUUCACCUUGAGCAACGUCCAGACCGCCCAUGAACUUCUGAAGGGCAAGUGGACUGCACGGGCAAACGUGAAAGUUGUGCAGGCGGACGAGAAGGGAACUUCCUCCUGUAAACGCAAGGAAUCACUGCAUCACGAGGAGAUGACGUUCAGCAGAUACAAAAUGCCGCGCAUAAUUGACAGCACUGAGAACAACAACUUUCAGAAGAGUGGAUAUUCUUCUGAAAGAGAUACUGGCUGGGUUACCCCUGAGAUUCCUCGUGGAUUCUUCACGACGACAAACAGGGUGCAGUACUCUCCACAAGAAGAUUUUUCACAUGAUGAAGAUGUAGUUGAAGAUGAUGAUGAUGUCACAUUCGUCUGGGAAGGCACUCACCAACGCGAUGAUGAAGACGAUGACGAUGAAGAUGAGCCGAUAACAGUUCUCAACCCAGAGUAUAAGCACCAGUUCACUAUGUUUGGACAGCAUGUCCGAACAGACAAUGAUGAUGCAGGUGAACACGAUGUUGCAGCAGAUGAUGAUUAUGUCUAUGAUGAUGUGCCACUGCUCCAAAAUUUUCAAACCAAUCCACCGAGACAUCGUCACAACACUGGAUUACCACCACGUCCACCUGCCGCAUCCCAAAACAGAGCUCAGCGUCCACCUGCUGCACCGAAAAACAGAGCUCCAACCAGACCUGCUGCAUCAACUUCGACGCUGCGGCCACCAACGGUGCAUCGGUCAAAAGUAAACAGCAGGUACAAAUCCUCCUCACUGUUACCGCCGCGAGAUCCUCAAUUACACACAUCUGCUAUAACCCCGCCAUGUCCAAUACAACCCGGCGAGCUGCAAACACCAUCAGGCGAACGACUGUACACACAUGAUAAAAACAUGCCGCUGAACCUCGUACCUGCUGCUGGAAUGAAAUUCACCACGUACGACAAGGCAUGGGACUUUUACAACAAUUAUGCAAGAUGUGCAGGGUUUGGUAUACGCAAGAGGGCAAAACACAGGACAAAUGCCUACAUUGUCUGCUCAAGAGAAGGGGUCCACAAGCAGGCUGUGUCAGAUUAUCACCGGGUACGUCAGAAGACAUCAAAAAGGAUUGGCUGCAAUGCAAAGAUUAGAGUCAAAAAAGGAAGGAUGGCAAAUUUGUGA